AUACGGAAGGUUCGGGCGUUAUCCGGAUUUAUUGGGUUUAAAGGGAGCGCAGGCCGGCUUUUAAGCGUGACGUGAAAUGUAGAUGCUCAACAUCUGAACUGCGUCGCGAACUGGAGGCCUUGAGUGCAUUCGACGCCAGCGGAAUUCGUGGUGUAGCGGUGAAAUGCUUAGAUAUCACGAAGAACUCCGAUUGCGAAGGCAGCUGGCGAGACUGUAACUGACGCUAAAGCUCGAAAGUGCGGGUAUCGAACAGGAUUAGAUACCCUGGUAGUCCGCACGGUAAACGAUGGAUGCCCGCUGUUUGCGAUAUAAUGUAAGCGGCCAAGCGAAAGCGUUAAGCAUCCCACCUGGGGAGUACGCCGGCAACGGUGAAACUCAAAGGAAUUGACGGGG
rnacentral:rRNA from 1 species